rnacentral:lncRNA from 1 species
UUGGGAAAAGAAAAGUCAUGAGUUAACCCUACAACUAAAAUAGCGACGAAAAGAGUCAAUAUUCGCCCGUGAAAACUUUAUCUUCUUGGAUUGAUAAUUUUUGCUCAAUCCAAUAGGAUAAAAAGAAUAAAAUAAAAUAAUAAUACUAUAUUAAAAUUAAAAAAAAUUAAUAUGUUUAGUUAGCUAAAAAAGCAAGAUAUACAAAUGAUAAUAGACAUUUUGAAAAUUUGAUUAUUCGCGAGGAGCUGGAUGAGAAGAAACUCUCAUGUCC